rnacentral:rRNA from 1 species
UACGAAGGGGGCUAGCGUUGCUCGGAAUCACUGGGCGUAAAGCGCACGUAGGCGGAUCUUUAAGUCAGGGGUGAAAUCCCGAGGCUCAACCUCGGAACUGCCUUUGAUACUGGAGAUCUUGAGUCCGGAAGAGGUAAGUGGAACUGCGAGUGUAGAGGUGAAAUUCGUAGAUAUUCGCAAGAACACCAAUGGCGAAGGCAGCUCGCUGGGACGGUACUGACGCUGAGACGCGAAAGCGUGGGGAGCAAACAGG